AAGAAGUCAGGCCGGAUUAAGCCAUAGUACGGUAAGAGCUAUGCUGCCUGUGAGCCCCGUCUAAGGACGUAAAAUGAAGUAAGGCCGGAAUCCACGGUUUGAGCAAACCGUGCUGCCUGUAGCUCCAUCGUGGGGAUGUAAAAACCUGGGAGGCUGCAACCCAUGGAAGCUGUACGCAUGGAGUAGCAGACUAGGGGUUAGAGGAGACCCCCCCCGAAACACAACGCAGCAGCGGGGCCCAACACCAG
rnacentral:lncRNA from 1 species